AUUGAACGCUGGCGGCAGGCCUAACACAUGCAAGUCGAACGGUAACAGGAAGCAGCUUGCUGCUUUGCUAACGAGUGGCGGGCGGGUGAGUAAUGUGUUGGAAACUGCCCGAUGGAGGGGGAUAACUACUGACAGCGGUAGCUAAUACCGCAUAACGUCGGCAGCCCAGAGGGGGGGGCCUUAGGGCCGCUGGCCAUCGGGUGUUCCCAGAUGGUAUUCGCUAGUAGGUGGGGUAACGGCUCACAUGGUCGACGAUCCCUAGCUGGUCUGAGAGGAUGAUAGGCCACAUGGGAGCUGAGACACGGACAAGAGGCCUACGGGAGGCAGCAGUGGGGAAUAGUGCACAAUGGGCGGAAGUAUGAUGCAGUGAUGGCGAGUGUAUGACGAAGGCGUUGGGGUUGUAAAGUACUCUCAGCGGUGAGGAAGGGAGUAAAGCUAAGACGUAGGCUGAGUGACGGUAAUGGCAGAAGAAGCACCGGCUAACUCCGUG
rnacentral:rRNA from 1 species